CGCCCGCCGGGGGCUCGCGCCGGCCACGAGGGAGCGUCCGCGGCCCGCACGCCGGCGCCGCGGAGGAGAGGUGAGCCCCGGGUCCCGCAGGUCGUCGUCCCCGCCGGGGCCGAGUCCCUCCUGCUGCCGCGUCGCGCCCCCGCGUGGAGCGGAUGGACACGGCGGAGUCCCGCGCGCGCCCGGGCACCGGGUAGGAGUGGGCCGCGCAAGGGCCGGCCGGCCUCCCCGGUGCCACCCUCCCCGGAUGGGCACACGUGGGCGUGUCCCCUCCGUCCACGCGCGGCGGCUUCACCCUCUCGGCUUUCGUCCAGGUUGCCGACUUCUGAAAUGGAGCCAUGAAGGUGAUAAGUAUGAUGUUUCCGUAAUACCUUUGGAUAUUUUCAGCUAA
rnacentral:lncRNA from 1 species